rnacentral:rRNA from 1 species
UACGUAGGGGGCGAGCGUUGUCCGGAUUUAUUGGGCGUAAAGAGCGUGUAGGCGGCCAGAUAAGUCCGCUGUGAAAUCUCGAGGCUCAACUUCGAGCUGUCGGUGGAAACUGUCUGGCUAGAGUCCGGAAGAGGAGAAUGGAAUUCCUGGUGUAGCGGUGAAAUGCGCAGAUAUCAGGAAGAACACCCGUGGCGAAGGCGGCUCUCUGGGACGGUACUGACGCUGAGACGCGAAAGCGUGGGAGCGAACAGG